rnacentral:rRNA from 1 species
CAGCCGCCACGGUAAUACGGAGGGAGCUAGCGUUGUUCGGAAUUACUGGGCGUAAAGCGCACGUAGGCGGCUUUGUAAGUUAGAGGUGAAAGCCUGGAGCUCAACUCCAGAAUUGCCUUUAAGACUGCAUCGCUUGAAUCCGGGAGAGGUGAGUGGAAUUCCGAGUGUAGAGGUGAAAUUCGUAGAUAUUCGGAAGAACACCAGUGGCGAAGGCGGCUCACUGGACCGGCAUUGACGCUGAGGUGCGAAAGCGUGGGGAGCAAACAGGAUUAGAUACCCCCGUAGUCCCUGUCUCUUAUAC